GUCAGGAACCCACGACUAAAGUCGAUGGUUUGCAAGCCCUAACCUGACCAGCCUCAGCUGAAAGCCUCUCAGGUCUUUCAGCUACGUUACCGGCGAAUACAUAGGUACCCUGGAGUGCAUUUCCCAGCCCCAGGCUCUACGGGCAACCAUUAAACAGACGUAAGGGGUUAAGUCGGUGCGGUUGCCGACAAACCGUUGGAUAACAUUGGCGAGGGAAACAUCACCCGCGUAAGCGG
rnacentral:sRNA from 1 species